rnacentral:rRNA from 1 species
UACGGAGGGGGCUAGCGUUGUUCGGAAUUACUGGACGUAAAGCGCACGUAGGCGGGUAUCCAAGUUGGGGGUGAAAUCCCGGGGCUCAACCCCGGAACUGCCUCCAAAACUGGGUACCUAGAGUCCGAGAGAGGUGAGUGGAAUUCCCAGUGUAGAGGUGAAAUUCGUAGAUAUUGGGAAGAACACCAGUGGCGAAGGCGGCUCACUGGCUCGGUACUGACGCUGAGGUGCGACAGCGUGGGGAGCAAACAGG